GACGAACGCUGGCGGCGUGCUUAACACAUGCAAGUCGAACGGAUUGCUUGGUGCUUGCACUGAGUGGUUAGUGGCGAACGGGUGAGUAACACGUGAGUAACCUGCCCCCUUCUUUGGGAUAAGCACCUGAAAGGGUGUCUAAUACUGAUUAUUCUGCUGGAAUCGCAUGGUUUUGGUUGGAAAGGUUUUUUCUGGUGGGGGAUGGGCUCGCGGCGUAUCAGCUUGUUGGUGGGGUAAUGGCUUACCAAGGCUUUGACGGGUAACCGGCCUGAGAGGGUGACCGGUCACAUUGGGACUGAGAUACGGCCCAGACUCCUACGGGAGGCAGCAGUGGGGAAUAUUGCACAAUGGACGAAAGUCUGAUGCAGCGACGCCGCGUGAGGGAUGAAGGCCUUCGGGUUGUAAACCUUUUUCGCUUUUGACCAAGGCAGCAUUUUGGUGUUGUUGAGGGUAUGAGGUAAAGAAGCUCCGGCUAACUACGUGCCAGCCGCCGCAGUAAUAC
rnacentral:rRNA from 1 species